rnacentral:lncRNA from 1 species
UUUUUUUUUUUUUUUUUUUUUUUUUUUAAACUGGCCUGUUUUAGAGUUCAGUUUGAUUAUGUGGCACCUAGCAUGAGUGAUUCCAUUAUAGUUUGGUUUGGUCUGGUCUGCCGGCCCCAGUGUAGGAGGCUAGCCCAAAACAAUGUUUCCUGUAAGUUUUAUGUAACACUGAUUUGAUCAUCCCUUAAUGUUGGCUGUCCUCUAUACACGAUAAGCAUGAUGGCUUCAACUAAUACCUGUUGACAAAUCCCAAAUCUGCAGCUGUGGGCCAGUUCUAGGCUCCUGAUCUGAAUAUUAAAGUGCCUAGCCUUCCUGAAACUCAACGUGUCUAUAACUGAACUUACUGGCACCCUCUCCUCCAUGCAUUUUCCCUAUGAACUAACGUCAUCAGCUUUAUUCACUUCUUCAAGAUAGUCAUUUGAGAAUUAACUUUGAUACUUCCUCUUCCUUUCCUCCUACAUUUACAUCUAAUUGGUCAUUAAGUUUUAAUUCUCUAAUUCUCUCUUGAAUCAGUUUCCUGCUCUCCUACAUCACUGCCCUAUUUUAGGACAUUUCUCAAUAGGAACAUAGUAGUGACAUUCUAACUGGUUUUCCCACCUUUCUCUUGCCUUCGUCUAUCCUACUGCCAGACAGACUUUCCAAAGUUGAAAGUUUAAUUGUGCAGAACCUUUUCAAUCGUUCCCGAUUACCUUCAUGACACUCUUAGAUACUUAGGAUGGCAUCCAAGGCCAUUUGUAUUCUAGCUUUGCUGAAAGUAGUCAAUCUAAACUACUGAAGUCCCCAGAUUAACACCAUGCUCUCUAACCUCUUUUUGUGAGUUGCCUGUGCCUUUCCCACCCCCACUAUUUAGUCCAAAUCAACACUGAGUUCAGAGCUCUCCUCCUGUAGAGUGUUUUCUUAGCCUCCCCAACCGUGAUUAGGUGCCCCUCUAGUAUAUUUUCACAGCACCCUGUGUUUACUUCUGUUAGGGCACUGAUAUCAACCCUGCAACUGCUAACUUACAUGUCUGGACCCCAGCUUUAAACCAUGUGAAUAAUAAUACCUAGCAUUUGUCGAAAGCUGUGUACUAGGCUUUGUAUUAAGUACACUGCAUGCAUUAUUUAUUUAAUCCUCAUGACAAACCUUAGAAAGUAGGAACUAAUACUAACCUCAACUUGCAGGUGAAGAAACUGAGCACAGAGUGGUUAAGAAACUUCCUCCAUGUUGCAGAAUUAUAUCCUAAUGUUUUUGGGAGGCAAGGAUCAUAUACUAUAUGUGUAUGAGGAGAAUGUGGCAAAGUCUGGCACAUGGUAGUGCUUCAGUAAAGGUUUACAGGUCAAAUAAGCGAAUGAAGAGCUCAGAGGACAAACCUGUGACAAACGAACAGAAACUAAAAAGCAGCAGAUUUUAGUUUAGCAUAACAAAAAACUUGGCCGGGUGUGGUGGCUCAUGCCUAUAAUCCCAGCAUUUUGGGAGGCUGAGGUGGGAGGAUUGCUUGAGCCCAGGAGUUCAAGACAAGCCUGGGCAACAUAAGGAGAUCUUGUAUCUACAAAAGAUUUUUAAAAAUUUAGCUGGGUAUGGUGGCAUAUGCCUGUAGACCCAGGUACCCAGGAGGCUGAGGUGGGAAGAUUGCCUGGGCCCAGGCAGUUGAGGCUGCAGUGAGCCAAGAUUGUACCACUGCACUCCGGUAUGGGCAACAGAGCAAUAUCGUGUCUCAAAAAAGUUUUUAAAUUAAAAGAGAAAGAACUUUAUAUUAAUUAGACCAUCCAAUGGAAUGGAUUUCUCAAAAAACAGGUACACAUAGCACUUAUACUGAAGAGUAUUUAUACAUUUGCAUUUUCCC